UACGUAGGGAGCAAGCGUUGUCCGGAAUCAUUGGGCGUAAAGCGCGCGUAGGCGGCCCCGUAAGUCCGCUGUGAAAGUCAAAGGCUCAACCUUUGAAAGCCGGUGGAUACUGUGGGGCUAGAGUCCGGAAGAGGCGAGUGGAAUUCCUGGUGUAGCGGUGGAAUGCGCAGAUAUCAGGAGGAACACCAAUAGCGAAGGCAGCUCGCUGGGACGGUACUGACGCUAAGGCGCGAAAGCUAGGGGAGCGAACAGG
rnacentral:rRNA from 1 species